UGUAUCCAAUGUGUAGUCUUUUAUCCCUCACAUGGAGUAAAAUAUGAGGGAUAAAAGACUACAUAUUGGGUACA
ensembl:miRNA